rnacentral:rRNA from 1 species
CAGCGGGUUACGAUUGACGGAGCGAAGCGACGUCAAAGCGUAUACAAAGUCGAGUCGGUUUAAGGAUACGUUCGUUGGGUAGGGGAGCGUUCUGUAAGCCCGUGAAGGUGGCCUGUGAGGGUUGCUGGAGGUAUCAGAAGUGCGAAUGCUGACAUAAGUAACGAUAAAGCGGGUGAAAAGCCCGCUCGCCGGAAGACCAAGGGUUCCUGUCCAACGUUAAUCGGGGCAGGGUGAGUCGACCCCUAAGGCGAGGCCGAAAGGCGUAGUCGAUGGGAAACGGGUUAAUAUUCCCGUACUUGGUGUUACUGCGAAGGGGGGACGGAGAAGGCUAUGUUGGCCGGGCGACGGUUGUCCCGGUUUAAGCGUGUAGGUGUGUGUUCCAGGUAAAUCCGGUUCACUUUAACACUGAGGCGUGACGACGAGGCACUACGGUGCUGAAGCAACAAAUGCCCUGCUUCCAGGAAAAGCCUCUAAGCAUCAGGUAACAUCAAAUCGUACCCCAAACCGACACAGGUGGUCAGGUAGAGAAUACCAAGGCGCUUGAGAGAACUCGGGUGAAGGAACUAGGCAAAAUGGUGCCGUAACUUCGGGAGAAGGCACGCUGACACGUAGGUGAAGUGAUUUACUCAUGGAGCUGAAGUCAGUCGAAGAUACCAGCUGGCUGCAACUGUUUAUUAAAAACACAGCACUGUGCAAACACGAAAGUGGACGUAUACGGUGUGACGCCUGCCCGGUGCCGGAAGGUUAAUUGAUGGGGUCAGCGCAAGCGAAGCUCCUGAUCGAAGCCCCGGUAAACGGCGGCCGUAACUAUAACGGUCCUAAGGUAGCGAAAUUCCUUGUCGGGUAAGUUCCGACCUGCACGAAUGGCGUAAUGAUGGCCAGGCUGUCUCCACCCGAGACUCAGUGAAAUUGAACUCGCUGUGAAGAUGCAGUGUACCCGCGGCAAGACGGAAAGACCCCGUGAACCUUUACUAUAGCUUGACACUGAACAUUGAGCCUUGAUGUGUAGGAUAGGUGGGAGGCUUUGAAGUGUGGACGCCAGUCUGCAUGGAGCCGACCUUGAAAUACCACCCUUUAAUGUUUGAUGUUCUAACGUGGACCCGUAAUCCGGGUUGCGGACAGUGUCUGGUGGGUAGUUUGACUGGGGCGGUCUCCUCCUAAAGAGUAACGGAGGAGCACGAAGGUUGGCUAAUCCUGGUCGGACAUCAGGAGGUUAGUGCAAUGGCAUAAGCCAGCUUGACUGCGAGCGUGACGGCGCGAGCAGGUGCGAAAGCAGGUCAUAGUGAUCCGGUGGUUCUGAAUGGAAGGGCCAUCGCUCAACGGAUAAAAGGUACUCCGGGGAUAACAGGCUGAUACCGCCCAAGAGUUCAUAUCGACGGCGGUGUUUGGCACCUCGAUGUCGGCUCAUCACAUCCUGGGGCUGAAGUAGGUCCCAAGGGUAUGGCUGUUCGCCAUUUAAAGUGGUACGCGAGCUGGGUUUAGAACGUCGUGAGACAGUUCGGUCCCUAUCUGCCGUGGGCGCUGGAGAACUGAGGGGGGCUGCUCCUAGUACGAGAGGACCGGAGUGGACGCAUCACUGGUGUUCGGGUUGUCAUGCCAAUGGCACUGCCCGGUAGCUAAAUGCGGAAGAGAUAAGUGCUGAAAGCAUCUAAGCACGAAACUUGCCCCGAGAUGAGUUCUCCCUGAGACUUAGAGUCUCCUGAAGGAACGUUGAAGACGACGACGUUGAUAGGCCGGGUGUGUAAGCGCAGCGAUGCGUUGAGCUAACCGGUACUAAUGAACCGUGAGGCUUAACCUUACA